AGAGUUUGAUCCUGGCUCAGGAUGAACGCUGGCGGCGUGCCUAACACAUGCAAGUCGAGCGAGCGGAACUAACAGAUUUACUUAGGUAAUGACGUUAGGAAAGCGAGCGGCGGAUGGGUGAGUAACACGUGGGGAACCUGCCCCAUAGUCUGGGAUACCACUUGGAAACAGGUGCUAAUACCGCGG
rnacentral:rRNA from 1 species